UACGAAGGGGGCGAGCGUUGUUCGGAUUUACUGGGCGUAAAGGGCGCGUAGGCGGGAUGGCAAGUCGGUCGUGAAAUCCCUCGGCUCAACCGAGGAACGUCGAUCGAUACUGCUGUUCUUGAGGAUUGCAGAGGAGACUGGAAUUCCCGGUGUAGCGGUGAAAUGUGUAGAGAUCGGGAGGAACACCGGUGGCGAAGGCGGGUCUCUGGGCAAUUCCUGACGCUGAGGCGCGAAAGCGUGGGGAGCAAACGGG
rnacentral:rRNA from 1 species